AACGAACGCUGGCGGCAGGCUUAACACAUGCAAGUCGAGCGCCCCGCAAGGGGAGCGGCAGACGGGUGAGUAACGCGUGGGAAUCUACCGAGCCCUAAGGAAUAGCUCCGGGAAACUGGAAUUAAUACCUUAUACGCCCUUUUGGGGAAAGAUUUAUCGGGGUUUGAUGAGCCCGCGUUGGAUUAGCUAGUUGGUGGGGUAAAGGCCUACCAAGGCGACGAUCCAUAGCUGGUCUGAGAGGAUGAUCAGCCACAUUGGGACUGAGACACGGCCCAAACUCCUACGGGAGGCAGCAGUGGGGAAUAUUGGACAAUGGGCGCAAGCCUGAUCCAGCCAUGCCGCGUGAGUGAUGAAGGCCCUAGGGUUGUAAAGCUCUUUCACCGGUGAAGAUAAUGACGGUAACCGGAGAAGAAGCCCCGGCUAACUUCGUGCCAGCAGCCGCAGUAAUAC
rnacentral:rRNA from 1 species